AGAUAUGCUCCCCUCUGUCACCCAGGCUGGAAUGCAGUGGCAUGAACAUAGCUCACUGUAGCCUCCACCUCCUAGGUUCAAGCAAUCCUCCCACCUCAGCUCCCUGUGUAGCUGGGACUACAGGCAUGCACACUGUUAAUUGUUAAGACAGGGUCUCCCUACGUUGCCCAGGCUGGUCUCGAACUCCUGGUCUCAAGUGAUCUUCCCUCCUCAGCCUCCCAAAGUAUUGGAAUUACAGGCAUGAGCCACCAUGCCUGGCCUUUCUUUUAUAUUUUUAAAAUUUAUUUAUUGUGGUAAAAUAUACAUAGUAAAUGUACUACUUCAACCAUUUUUAAAUGUAUAGUUUAGUGGCA
rnacentral:lncRNA from 10 species